UGGGGAAUUUUGGACAAUGGGGGCAACCCUGAUCCAGCCAUGCCGCGUGAGUGAAGAAGGCCUUCGGGUUGUAAAGCUCUUUCGGCCGGGACGAAAUCGCUAUCUCUAAUAAAGGUAGUGGAUGACGGUACCGGAAUAAGAAGCACCGGCUAACUACGUGCCAGCAGCCGCGGUAAUACGUAGGGUGCGAGCGUUAAUCGGAAUUACUGGGCGUAAAGCGUGCGCAGGCGGUUUUGUAAGCCAGAUGUGAAAUCCCCGGGCUUAACCUGGGAACUGCAUUUGGGACUGCAAGGCUAGAGUGUGUCAGAGGGAGGUGGAAUUCCACGUGUAGCAGUGAAAUGCGUAGAUAUGUGGAGGAACAUCGAUGGCGAAGGCAGCCUCCUGGGAUAACACUGACGCUCAUGCACGAAAGCGUGGGGAGCAAACAGG
rnacentral:rRNA from 1 species